ensembl:lncRNA
GCGUUAUUAUUUCUGUUCGCGCGAAACGUACGAGUAUGAUUAAGGAUAAAUAUGAUUUGAAAGGAAAUUUGGAAAAGAAAAAGCAACAAAGCUUAACAGGAAGAAGGUCAGAGUUGGAGAUGAAGAAACAGACUGAAGCUUCUGCUCAGUAAUAUCCCUUCUGAAUUGGACGUCACCAAAUCAGACGAAUGCAAAGGUAAAUAAAGAUAGAGGUAGUGGUAAAGAUAGAAAGAAAUGGAGGAUAUGGGGAUGGUGAAGAAAGAUGGAGAUGGGCGGUAAGUAUUAAUAUGGAUACGAGAAUGGAGAUGGGACACGCCGGUGGAGAAGGGAACGAGGAUGGGGAUGGAGAGAAGGACGGAGAUCAGGGGGGAAGAUGUUGAUAGAUACGAGUAUGGAGAUGGGAGGUAAGGAUGGAGAUGGGAGGUGAAGAAUGAGAUGGUCAUGGAGAUGGAUGCGAGGAUGAUGAGAGGAGGUGGACAUAACGAUGGAUAUGAAGAUGGAGGUCAGGGGUGAUAAUGUGAAAAGUGAAGAUGGAUAUGAGGAUGGAGACUGGAGGUGAUGGUGGAGGUGGAUAUGACGAUGGAGACUGGAGGUGAUGGUGGAGGUGGAUAUGAGGAUGGAGACUGGAGGUGAAGACUCCCCUCCUGUGGCUAGAUGCUGAGAACUAUCACUUUAUUUUGAGCACUACUGAAAGGUCAUUAUGAAUGCAUUAAUACACAGAAGACAGUUUUAAUGCAGAGAGAUGCGAGGAAGACGAGGGUUAGAGCACUAGAUUGUGUGAGGAAGAAAGCAGCGCUGAUUAUUUAAACAGCACCCCUUUUUUCCUUUUUUUUUCCCUUUUUUUUUUGUGUGUUAUUCUCAACGCCAUCUGUGCUGCAGACCCGUUAAACCUGACGAGCUUUCCCAUUACCCAGAGUUCCUGUCUCCAUGGCAACACGCACACACACACACACACACACACAGGUUAAAGUUUUCUUCACGUUGCGUAUUUGAAUAUUAUAGCGAUGUCACAUAGGAAGCCGUUUCCACCGAAUUCGACAGGCGCGGUGUGAAAAGGGGGUUCAAAAGAAAAAAAAGUCAUAACGUGUGUGUAUUAUGAUUCGCUUAUAGAACGCCGUAUAAACUCCAACUUAAGAGUUAAGUCCGAACUUGAGAGCUUUCAAACGCCGCAACAUUCACAGGAGCGUGUUAUCGUCCGACAUUACCGCAGAUGUUCAGCAGAUCCGAGCCGAGACGCUUUACAUUUUACAACAUUUUACAUUCAUUCGUUCAGCAGACGCUUUUAUCCAAAGCGACUCACAAGUGAGGAAAUACAAGCAAAGGUGAUGAUGUCAUCAGCCUCUUCACGUGCGUGGAGCAUGAGAACAGCUAAAAGGUCCCGUUUACCAACAAACAUCACCGUGCAAGACAUUUCCGUGCGCUUGAAGUAGUUUUCCGCAAAAAAAAUAAAAUAAAAGAUUUAAAAAGUUGCAUCGCAAAUUUUGGAGAAGAAGAGGCGCUGCAAAUUCAAGCGUCUUUGGCCGCAACGAUCGCAGAAAACUCGGAGCAAUCCUGUAGGGACCGUCUGACGGCAGCUCUGAAAGUAGAUCCAGCUGCAGUUCAAAUGAUAGGUUUAUACGAAUGCUCUUGUUCUAACAUCUAACACGUAUUUUCUGUAGUGACAACUCAUUCACAGGGAUCUAAAAAUUUUUUAUUUUUUUUUAAAUGAAAAAAACAACAACAAUGUGUGAUAUGGAAAAGGUUUCUGUAAGGAGAUGUUUAUUUGACAUUUAUAUAACGGAAGGACAACGUAGAAGACAACGUUUGCGCUUUCCGGUUUCUCAGUCAUAUUUCGCUGCAUUGUAUUCUUCUAACUUCUGUCUUUAAUUUAUUUAUUCAUUUUCGUGUGGUUCAUUUACAUGUGAUUCAUUUGCGUAUGAUUCAUUUACAUGUGAUUCAUUUUCAUGAGAUUCAUAUUCAUGAGAUUCCUAUUCAAGUGAUACAUUUUCAUGUGGUUCAUUUACAUGUGAUUCA